GACGAACGCUGGCGGCGUGCUUAACACAUGCAAGUCGAACGGUGAAAGCGGAGCUUGCUCCGCUGGAUCAGUGGCGAACGGGUGAGUAACACGUGGGCAACCUGCCCCUCACUUCGGGAUAACUCCGGGAAACCGGGGCUAAUACCGGAUAUGACCUCCUUGGGCAUCCUUGGAGGUGGAAAGUUUUUCGGUGAGGGAUGGGCCCGCGGCCUAUCAGCUUGUUGGUGAGGUAGUGGCUCACCAAGGCGACGACGGUUAGCCGGCCUGAGAGGGCGACCGGCCACACUGGGACUGGGACACGGCCCAGACUCCUACGGGAGGCAGCAGUGGGGAAUAUUGCGCAAUGGGCGAAAGCCUGACGCAGCAGCGCCGCGUGCGGGAUGACGGCCUUCGGGUUGUAAACCGCUUUCAGCAGGGAAGAAGCCGCAAGGUGACGGUACCUGCAGAAGAAGCACCGGCUAACUACGUGCCAGCAGCCGCCGUAA
rnacentral:rRNA from 1 species